CACCCACUAGGGGGCAGUCAAGAUAGCUUUCUGUGUUGAGGGCUUCCGUUUUUCCUGCCCUGUAUUUUUCAUCUGCGGACUCGGGGUUACUGAAAUCAAAUGGAAGAGAUCUGUUAAAUGGUCGAGGUUUUGAAUUUGUUUAUUGUUUGAAGACCUUCACAAGAAGGCACUAAAAUGGGCAGAAGUAGAAGCCGAUCCCCACCAAAACGAGGUUUGCUUUAGCAACGAAUAAGCAUUCCGAUUCCCUAUGCUUCUCCCCAAAAUGUGCACUUGUUCACCUAAUCCUCAAGAAUUUAAAAGCGUUGCGUUGGUGUUAGAAUGGGCUGGAGGGUAUUCGCAGCUUCCAUAAUAUUUCUUAAACCAGUCCAUUAGGGGAAAUGAUUAGUGUACACAUCAAGAAGAUGAUAUAGAAUAGGAUCUCUGCCUAGAUAGCCUGUCCUCUAGCUAUCGCUGUCUCUUUUCUUUAGGUCUCUUCGCAGACUACGCUUUUCCCCUGGCUCCCUCCAGGCAGAAGGACAGGCGUGAUGAUGAUCAAAAGGAUUCCAAGAGGAAGACAUGCAGGGCAAGACCAAAGAGGAGAUUGAGAUGAUGAAGAUUAUGGGCUUCGGCAACUUUGACACCACAAAAGGAAGGAAGACCGAUGGUGCAGUCAAUGCACAUGCUAUCAAUGUGUCCCAGAAGAGGAAAUACAGACAUGCUGAUUCAUUGUCUUUAGAAACUACAAGAGGCAGUACACGAACAGAAAAGGUGGAUUCAACAGACCUCUGGACGUCAUUGCUUGAAGUAGGAUAAACAACAGACUCAUUGAUGUUACCUAAAAUGUACUAGCCUUGUGGUCUCUCUUUACUGUGACACUGUGUGUUUUGGUGAUAAAGUAAAAAUUAAAAAAAUGGUAUAGUCUGUUCCUGUUUUAUUUAUUGACUCCCUGCACGGCAUAUACAUUCUGCAAAUACUCAUGCGACUGAAUAAGUAAAUGUUUCUGUAAUAUCAGUUUUGUUUAUUUAUUUUAAGAAUGAGCCUUGUUAACAACAUGCCUGGGUUAAUAUGUGUUUCAUAAUGCAUUUUAAGGUGUUUUUGAUUCAGAUUAAAAACUUAAAUUCAGA